GAUAGGUUAAAUUUAUUCUCGGGAAAUUUAAAUUAGCUCUCAAGCCCCAGUGUGUAAUUUUUUUACUUUUCUGGCGGCAUCUGGUGGUAAAGUUGCAACCAACUGAGCUUUCGAUAAGGGACAUUUUGUGGUGGCGUACCGAUAAUUCCACUUCCGGUUUCCCGCAGCACUGUUCACUUAUUCUGGACCGUUUUCUGCAACAACCGUAUUUAACCUUAUUAUACCGCGGAACCGCUCGGAACUCGGACCUUGCAAGUAGGGGUGGUGGUUUUUUUCCGACCUCCGGAGUCGCAGUUGAACCCAACACGACGUAGCAAACAUGGCGACUUACACGUAGGUCGGGUCCCGCUAAUGUUACUAUAUUUGACUCGUUCAAAGUUGACGAAAAUCAUCGGUUCUUUGUUGCAGUCAGUCGGGUGACGUCUCUCUAAACACCUGUCAGAGGAGCUUUGAUCAGCAAUGGCGGGUUCGGUUGCAGUGAGGUGCAGUCACCCGAGCGGAGCCGUUCUAACAGUGAAGCGUCUUCGUCCUGUCCUCAGGAAUCCUGAGGUUAAAGCGAUGGAUAUGUUACUUCCCGAUAGAAUAAGCCACUGACGGAGAAUCCCCUCCCCGCUUCGGUCCCAGAUGACUGGUUGUCCGUGGCUCUACCCUCCACUGUCCUCUGUCGGUCUGCAGGAGUCUCAUUUGUGAAGCAAGCACAUUAUCCACGCUGGCUUCCACAUAGACAGGAGGGAGGAGGAGGAGACGCGAAGCGAGAGCUAAUGAUCCGCAGUGUCCAGUUGAAAUUAGCUCCAUUAAUCACACCAUUGAUUGGUCAGGGGCAGAAGGCACUGCUGGCCCGUCCCCAUUGUCUCUUUCGCAAGAUGCCGUUAUGAUGUGUGGAUACUGGCACCAUCCUCUGUAUGGUGGAACUGUAAAUGAUAUGUGCUGAAGGUGGAGGAAUAGUCUCUGGGGAAAUGACUGUUUGUGUUUUUCGGGUCUUUGCAGGAGAGGUCGAUACCCGUCUGAUGGCUCCCUCCACCCUCUGCCCAUUCAAUGACGUCACAGUCAGCAGUGAUUAUCCUGAAAACUUUGAAGUCUCACUCUCUCUGCAUUUCCACCUUAGUUCUUUCUCCUUCCUCCCUCCGAUGUAAGUCCUGCAGCUCUGUGACCCACGACAUCAUGAGCAUUUCACUUUUAGCAGCAGCCAGUGAGAGAGCUUUCUCUUUGAUUGAGAUUCACCUUUCAGAAAGAAGGUAUGUGAUUUGAAAAUGAGAGGCCAUUACUAUGGAUCAGCUGCCAUUGUAUGAAACAUAACUGCAACCAUGAGAUGAGCCUCAUUGUUAUUUAUCUAAACCCGUGAGGUGAAGAAACACAUACUAAAGGUAUGUUUCAUAUUUCCCUUUUAAAAGAAUGUGACUGUGAAUAAUGCAGUAAUAUUUUCACCGCACUCAAAAACCUUGAUCAUGUUCCACUGUCUGCUCCCUCACUGUCAGCUGCGAGCCGAGGAAGAUCCUGCUCUGCACAGAAAGACACAUUUUACUUUUGACAGAUUCACAGCCCAGCACCUGGACAGACUUUUACUAGCAGUGUAUCCACCCGGCUGACAUGGCACCACUGAGCACCAAGCCACUGAGCAAGUGCACCCGCAGUUUAUCUUUGUUCUCACCGACAAUUAGAAGACGAAGAGGGAUUUUCCUCACGCUUCUCCUCCGGGUGUUUGGAGCAGCAUUUCUGGAAAUCAGAUGCAAAAACUCCCCAUGCAGGUUUGUAGGAAACACAGAGAGUGAGAUUUUCUUUGGGCUCUUCAUCAAACACCAGCCACCAUCCCACUUCCCCGAUGAUUACUGUAUAGUCUUUGUCAGCAGCCUAUAUCUAUACAGGUUUUUUUAUUAAACUAUAUACAAAAUGUAGUGUAGACACCGGUCUACAAUGACCUAGAAGGGAGGGGGCUUCUUUAAGAGCUAAACAGGAAUGUUUAAACCAAGUCAAGAUGGAUGUUGGUCUGUUACAUGUUUCAUAUAACGGACAAUCAGAGUUCGUUUCCUUGUCGCUCUGGUAAAUUAGAUGAAACUGCAGUUAGUCAAAAACGGCCAUGUGAUGCUUUGGAGGCGGAUACGUGAGAACAACAGAGAAGGAAAAAUAUGUGUUUAUUUUUUUCCUGCUUGGAAUACAGAGCCGCUAUUUGACAGUGCUACAAUUUUAUCAGCAGGAGACAUGGGAUACAAUCUCUUCAUGUUGUACACCUCAGCAACAAAUCUGCUAAAUCAACACAGCCCAGACAUUUUCCCUUUCCCCCCUGCUCUCUCUCAUUUUGGUGAUUAUUUUCAGUGAGUGGAAACCCAGGCUCGGGAAGUGUUAUGCAUUUCAAACAGUCCAGAGAGGCCGACUGCACGGCUACCCGCUGGCAACCCGCUCUAUUUGCUUUCCCUCGCUUUAUCUGAAGCCUCAACACGAGGAUAAUAAGAAUGUCCUGCCCUGGACUUUAUUUUUGUACUACAGCCAUGAUGGUCCCCUGUUUGCUUCCAAAGACGUGCUUUUUCUCCUUUACUCAGCAGAAUUUUACCAAAAUCGAAGGCAAGUAGUAUAAAAUCUGUGGGAUUCUGUAUUAGCUCAAACUCAUCCACAUGUCAACCAAUAACACGUCACUCUCUUCCACAGGGAUUAGGCCUCUAAGGAUGUGAGGGUUAAAAUAAGAUGACAGCCAACCGUAUUAGACAGAUGACUGUGGGAAAGACAGGGUGGGCAGCCCCAUGUGAACGACCCUCUACAGAGGAAGUGUGGGCUGUGGUCAAGUCAUGCAUGUUGUGUUGUAUCAUGAUCACAGAGGAACUGACUUUCAGGCAGUGAAGGGUACAACCGCUGGAUGUACGGUCAGUGGCCUGAGUAGCCUGAAAUAUGUUACUGUGUACUGUGAACACGUCAUGUGUCUAAAGAGGAGCUUUCUCGUGUGUGUGAGAUCCUCCAGGGUUGGUGGAGGCGCAGAGGGAAGGACGUGUGGAGUACAGGACAUGGCCUGACGCUGCUGACCCGGACUUCCUGCCAGAAGAGAUGGUGUCAAAGCGGGACCUUCCUGGUUAAAUAAAGGAUAACUAAAUAAA